rnacentral:rRNA from 1 species
UGCCAGCCGCCGCGGUAAUACGGAGGGUGCAAGCGUUAAUCGGAAUUACUGGGCGUAAAGCGCACGUAGGCGGUUUAUUAAGUCGGAUGUGAAAGCCCUGGGCUCAACCUGGGAACUGCACUCGAUACUGGUAAACUAGAAUUUGGGAGAGGUGAGUGGAAUUUCCGGUGUAGCGGUGAAAUGCAUAGAGAUCGGAAGGAACACCAGUGGCGAAGGCGACUCACUGGACCAAAAUUGACGCUGAGGUGCGAAAGCGUGGGUAGCAAACAGGAUUAGAUA